CCCUAGCCUGGGAACCUCCAUAUGCCACGGGAAGCGGCCCUAGAAAAGGCAAAAAUAAAAAAUUAAAAAAAAAAAAGAGUUUGCAAAUGUGUUGUCACAUAAUAGAAACUGCAUGCAAUUUGUGUGUAUCUACUUGUAUUUAUUUAAUGAUAACCUCAACGUUUUCAUUUAAAAGUUCACUCUCAGUUUCUUUUUAGUUGACUCAUUCCUUUUCCUUGUGUGAUUGAUAUGGAGAGGCUCAAAAUCAUCAAACCCUUUGCCUAUUCACAAAUGGAAACAGCCGUCUGGAAAAAGUUAUAGAGUCCUUGCUUUCUCCCCAUUCCCUAUACCUCUCCAUAGUUCCAGAUGUUCCUGACACUGCUUAGAACAUUUUAUGUCUCUUUAUGAACUAUGCAACAAACUCUAUAAUAUAUGAGAUAAUGAUAAACUAUUGGGAGAAAUGGCAGGAAAAAAUGUAGACCAUAGGGCAUAAAAUGUGGUAUGAGUGCUUCAGUUAAUGCAUACAAAUAAGAAAAAAAAAAAUCUAAGAGUUACUUAGAAGGGAAGCUGAUUUUAGAAUACAGGUUAACUGAAACAAAGCACAUGUACUGAGGAAUUAAUGUAGACCCUUUCCUAAAAUCAUUAGUCCAAAAACACUAGCAAAAUUAUUGAUUGGAAGCUUAGUGAAAAUAAAAUACAUUCUGUCUGUACUAAACAACAACAACAACAAUAGCCAACGUUUAUUGAGAGCUUACUCUGUACCAGAAAUUGGCUAUAUGUGCAUUUCUUUCCAUUAAUUCCAGAAUCCUGUGAGUGAGGUGCUUUUAUUAUGUCAUUUUUAAACAUAAACUAAUGCUCAGAAAGAUUAAAUAACUUGUUCAGUGUCACACAGUUAGUAUAUAACAGCUGGGAUUUCAAACUCAAGUCCAACUCCAGAGAACCUAAGCUCUUAAUCACUACCUCAUCAUGACUCUAUUUUGAGACUGUAUUCACUCAGUGCUUGUCCUGAUUAUACUGGUAAUAAUAUUAUUUUGAGAAAGGCAUAGUAGAUUUGAAGAAGUUUCCAGAGAAGGGCACAAAAAAAGUGAUAAAGUUGUAAGUGGGAAGAAAGUUUGCUAAGGUAGAGUUCAUUUUUAAAAUUUAACUUGUUGGUCUAGCAUUGCAAAUCAUGAGAGGGAAUUUGUCUGAAUAUCUUAACAGUGGAUGGACUGGAUGGCUGCUUCCUGAUUUGGUUGGAUGGAAAAUGACGUAGCUGGGUAACUGAGGAAAUCAUGUGUAAGAGCAAGUAAAGGUAGGAUUAGAUUCUGGAAAUACUGGGAAAGUUAGAGGUGAAAAAGGAGACCUGAAUCUAACAGGUUGAGUAACCAAGAACAGGGAUCACACAGAAAAAAAGGGCAAGGCAGAACAGAAAAGACAUACUCAAAACUUUGGUAAAUCCUACUGACUUUGGAAGGCCCUUAAGUAAAUUGUUUGUUUGUAUCCUUACAUUUGUUUCAGAAACCAACAAUUGGCUUAAAUAGGGGCCACUUAGAGUUUGGGAUACAAAGACUGCUAUGGUUUGGGCACACAAAACAUGAUCAUCAAUACAGUCUUAAAGUUAGUAACUUUAGAUGUAUUACAAAGAAAUGCAAUUUAGCAUAGAAACCUAUGUGGUGAACCAGAGAAUAGCUGGCAAUUAUUGAGUACCUAUUAUGUACCACACAAUUGUGAAAUCACUGUUUCUGGUGGGCAUUUAUUGUACAGUAUAAGUUGCUGUCUGCUGUCCAGAUUUCAAGUACAAACAAAAAAGAACCUGUUAGCUUUUCUGAGGAAUUGAUGGGUGAAACAAAUUAUACCUUUAUUUUAUCUCAUUUUGUAAUUUGGCUUUUGAUCUCCUUUCCACAUUCAUGAAGCCAGACUCUACCAGGCCUAAGGUGGAAAAGAGUCUAUACUUCUCUUAUGUGACUAUAACUUUUCCUUUAUUUGUCAUUAUACUGAAAGUUUCAAUUUUAUUUGAUAGGAUAAAUGCAUUUUUAUCAGAGUAAUAGGUUCAAAUGAUCAGCAUAGGUAAAGUCAGUGUACAUGAGUUUCGAUUAUAUCUAUGAUAGCCAGCAUGAGUUAAUGAAAAGGGAAUUAUAUAAACUUCUGAAGUGAAUUUUUGUUAUUGCAAAUAAUUUUAAUGACAUCAAACCACCUACAAACAUGUGUAUGCAAUGUAUACAUACUGAUACUCUUUCUUCAGGAUGCUAGAGACUACAAAAGUUUUUGAGAGGUAAUAUUCUUAAGCUAUAUGUCUAUCUACUAUCUAUGGAGAGGGAGUUGAUUCAUCUGAAUGGAGUUAAAGAAUAAUGAAAGAGCAAUACCAUUACUUAUGUCACUUAUGUGUCUUCAGUAUUCCUUAUGACAACCUUUCUGAUACUUUCUUCGGACAUUUCUAGUGCAUUAGGAAAUACAGUAUAAUAACCAUUUUGUAUAUUUCAAGUGGAUACAUCACUAAUACAAUGUACCGUGAUGUUAGAAAGGUAAUCAAUAUUCAGAUUAUGCAUGACACCUUUCCCCUUCAGGUUUAUUGUCAUUGGUACUCAAUUGUUUUUGUUCUUUUGACGUCUUGUGGCAGCCUGUCUUUUAAACAGCUGUGUUAUUUGCAUCUUACCCUCCCUUUAUAUAACUGUCCCUUAGAGAAAUACCUUUAAAAACACAUCCUUUCAAUAAUCUUUCUUGUUCUAGCAAAGAGUUAAUAACAAGACAAUAUUAUGUGGAAGGGGUGAUUUGAGCUGAAAAAGGGUAUAGAGACAAAUGAACAGGAUUCCAGGCCCUUCUGUUUCAAAUAUUCUUCAUAAUAGUCUCGACAGUUGUUAUAAAAUGAAUUGCCAGAGUGUAUAGAAGCCAAAAAUAAAUGAUUGCUCUUUUUCUGUAAUGUCAUAUUAAUUAUACUAUACUGGGAGUUCCCAUUGUGGCUCAAUGGGUUAAGAACCCAACUAAGUAUCCGUGAGGAUGCAAAUUCCAUCCCUGGCCUCACUCAGUGGGUUAAGAAUCCGGCAUUGCUGUGAGCUGUAGAAUAGAUCAUAUAUAUGGCUUGGAUCUGCUGUUGCUGUGGCUGUGGUUUAGGCUGGCAGUUGAAGCUCUGAUUCGACCCCCAACCUAGGAACUUACAAUAUGUUGCAGGGGUGGCCAUAACAGCAACACAAACAAACAAAAAAAACUGUGCCGAACUGCAGAUCCUUAAGGAAAGGCACCAUAUUUUAUUAAUCCUUAAAACUUAGCACGGUACCUGGCAUACUGGAGGAUUCAACACUCUUUUGUAGCUAUCCUAGAAAGAUUACUUUGAUCCUUGCUUACCAGACCAUCCAUUCCUUAUUUUCUGUCAACUGGUUCCAAUUUAGCAUUGUUAAAACAGUUAUUACCUAUUGUAGGCUUUCUCUGUACUUUUCUCAGACCCAAACGUUUUUGCAUGUGCUCGUGAUCUUUUAUCCUUUUAGAUACUUAAUGAAAUUUUUUCAUGGCAAAAGUUCCAAUAACAAUUAUAUCUGCUCUGAUUCCGAAAAGAAAUAUAUCAGAUAUCACCCAUCAAUAGUAAAGCAAAUCUACUACAGUCAAUUCAGGAUAUUGUAUUGAAUAAAGUACACAGAAUUACAUUACCUAGUGAUUCAAGAAUGAAAUGCACAUUUCAUAUCCUAUAUGAUUCCUAUCUGAAUAGUAGGACAAACUAUCCAGAAUAUUUUUGCACUUAAUAUAUUGUAAUGAGAUUCUGAGCAUUUUAUAUGAGCUUCCUAAUUCUUAAAGUUCAUAAAAUUUCACACAAUUAGAAAACCGAGCUUUAACUUAUUUUACCUUGUUAUCUAAGUUGUUUAGAAGUCUAGUUCAGUGAAACACUUUAAUAUUAUUGAUGCUAUAUCCUUAGCUUUUCUAGAAAGCAAAAAAGGUAAUUGAGCAGUGAACAAUAUGGAGGGUAAUGUCACGUAAACCACUGUUGAGGAUGCAUGUUUAAUUCCUGUAUAACAGCUGACAUGCUUGCUAGUUAGGCAGUGAGAAACUCACAUGAUUGACCAAAGUCAUAAUUUGUCUUUCUACUACAGAAACUGAAACAAAUUGAUUUUAAAUUGUUUCCAAAACAAAGAUAAUAAUGUCCUGGAAUAAUUAAAACUGGGAUUUCAUUAAAGCAUACUUCAAGUGAUUAAUAGCUGUAGUUAUGUUUUGGAAUGUGCAAAUAACGCAGAGAGCAUAUUGGCAUUUUUAUAUAUUCAAGAAUAUGCUUUCUGAGGAAAGUGUUGGUUCUUGGGAAUAAUUAUAAUGAAGUCCCAGACAACCCCAGACCCACAUACCUCCACCUCUCUCAAUAUUUUUAAAAUUAAGGAUUCUGAAAACAAGGUGACCUAUGUAUGGCCAUCUUUCCAUUCACUUCCAAUUCCUGUCUAUCUUUCUGAAUCAAUACUGCUGAGAUCUGUGAACAAUUGCCAUGACACCCUGGGCAGAGGAAACACUGCUCUGAAACUUUUCUACCUUCAGUUGGGCAAGCAACUAGAGAAUAGUACUGGAGUUCAGGGAUAAAGAUCAGAAAACAGUAGACAUUGUCAAGAAGAACUUGGGCUUCUGAGGUUCCUGAACCAUUAUGGGAGAAGGUUAAUAUUUGCCCAUUUUAUAUAUUCAAGUCUCACCAAAUCGAUAAAAAGUCAAAGUAGCUGAAUGUGCUGGCUGAAUUUUCUCUGUUCAUGAGGCUGAAAAGAAAUAGAGAAAUAGGACAAUGGAGGUCAACCUCCUCAUGCCUUGGUAGGGAAUUGACAGACUGUCUAGUUCUCUCCAAGUGUGAUACUUUCGCCAUUUAGGAUACUCCAACAACCAGACCUGAGCUCCAGGGAGCUAUCAAUGAAAAAUAGCAGUCUAUUUAAGGGGACCCGGUAGUGAGGGAGAGAGAAAGAUCAGGUAGGAAAAUUAGAGUACACACUCUAAAUAACUAGUACAAUUGACAAAAAUAAAUGAAACUUGAAUAUUGAAAAUACAUUAAGAGCAUUUAAGGAAAUUCAAAUACAGAACAAAAAAGGAUUUAGGCUACUAAGACAAAUAUAUCUCAAUUGAGCAACUCAGUGGAAAAAAAUCUGAGGAGAACGUGGUAACUGUUGAAACAUGAGUCAGUGAGCCGAAGGAUCCAAGUCGAAGAAAUGUAUCAAGGUACUUAGGACAAAAAUCAAACAUGAUUACAGUCAAUUAAAAAAGGAUAAAUCUUGGAGAAUAAAUUAAAAAUCAAAACAUAUAAAUAAUAGGAAUUACACAGAAGGAAUAACAGAUGAAGGAGAGAUAUAAUUAAAUAAUAGAAGAAAAUUUCUUUGAGAUUAAGAAAAAUCAGAGUCUGUGGAUUAAAAGAGUUUAUUCAUUUAUGGUCUUGAUUGAAAGAAAAGACAUACUUAGACAUGUCCUGAUAAAAGUUCUGUACUCUAAAAAUAAAUUGAAACAUCUUAAAAGCUCCCAAAUAGAAAGGACAAGUUUCUUCUAUAAAGGGGAAAAGUACCAAAAUAUCAAAGAACUUAAUAUCUGCAACACAGGAAGCUAGAAGAUAUUGGAAUGACAUGUACAGACUGCAAAAGGGGAAUGAUAGUAGUCUAAGAAUCUCAACACCCAGAUAAUUGUCAUUUGCUAGUUAAGGUGAAAGAAAGAAAUUUAGGGAAAUCCAAGAACUCAAAAUAUGUAAUUAUUAUGUCCUGUCCAAAAAAAUGCCUGAGAAUAGAUUAUAAGCAAAUAACAGAUGAAACUGUAUAAAGGUUUCAAGAUGGAAAGGAAAUAGUGGUGAACAGUAAUAUUUAUAUAUAAUUAUGUGUGUGUAUUGUUUCAUUUAAAAGAAAAGACAGAUGGCUAGUAAAUGUGUAACAAAAAUAAUUUCAGGCUUUGAAUAAAAGGAUCAUCUUUAUGUAAAGAAAAUUUUUAAUGUACUAAGUUGUCUCAUCAAAACUUAGUUAAUGGAAGGAGCAGACAAAGGAGGAGAAGAAGGAAAUUGGGUAUUGGGAGAUUAGAGGAAAGGAGGAAAAGAGGGAGAAAAGCGACUGUAUCCUAAAGAUCUCUUUUAUUUAGGAGAAGGGGGUAGAGGAUAGAACCUCUUGGUGGGGGAAAUUUUUUCUCAUGUAUGUACGUCUCACUUGAAUAUAUAUGUAUGUGUAUAUAUACACACAUCUUUUUAUAAGAGUAGAGAAAGGGAAGGUCAGGACCAAUAGAACAUGUAGAACUUUCAUAGUAGCAAGGAGCCACUUAAUCAGACAAAAAA
rnacentral:lncRNA from 1 species